rnacentral:rRNA from 1 species
CUACGGGUCGCAGCAGUGAGGAAUAUUGCACAAUGGGGGGAACCCUGAUGCAGCAACGCCGCGUGGAGGAUGACGCAUUUCGGUGUGUAAACUCCUUUUAUAUGUCAAGAAAAUGACGGUAGCAUAUGAAUAAGCACCGGCUAACUCCGUGCCAGCAGCCGCGGUAAUACGGAGGGUGCAAGCGUUACUCGGAAUCACUGGGCGUAAAGGACGCGUAGGCGGGUUGGAAAGUCAGGUGUGAAAUCCUACAGCUUAACUGUAGAACUGCACUUGAAACUUCUAAUCUAGAGUAUGGGAGGGGGAGAUGGGAUUAGUGGUGUAGGGGUAAAAUCCGUAGAUAUCACUAGGAGUACCUAAAGCGAAGGCGAUCUCCUGGAACAUUACUGACGCUAAGGCGUGAAAGCGUGGGGAGCAAACAGGAUUAGAUACCCCCGUAGUC